rnacentral:rRNA from 1 species
GAUGAACGCUGGCGGCGUGCCUAAUACAUGCAAGUCGAGCGAACAGACGAGGAGCUUGCUCCUCUGACGUUAGCGGCGGACGGGUGAGUAACACGUGGAUAACCUACCUAUAAGACUGGGAUAACUUCGGGAAACCGGAGCUAAUACCGGAUAAUAUAUUGAACCGCAUGGUUCAAUAGUGAAAGACGGUUUUGCUGUCACUUAUAGAUGGAUCCGCGCCGCAUUAGCUAGUUGGUAAGGUAACGGCUUACCAAGGCAACGAUGCGUAGCCGACCUGAGAGGGUGAUCGGCCACACUGGAACUGAGACACGGUCCAGACUCCUACGGGAGGCAGUAGGGAAUCUUCCGCAAUGGGCGAAAGCCUGACGGAGCAACGCCGCGUGAGUGAUGAAGGUCUUCGGAUCGUAAAACUCUGUUAUUAGGGAAGAACAAAUGUGUAAGUAACUAUGCACGUCUUGACGGUACCUAAUCAGAAAGCCACGGCUAACUACGUG